CUUGAACACACACCACCGCUCUAAUCAUCACACGAUCUAAUCGCGGUGGCUUCGUUAAAAAAAACAAGAAUUUUUGCCAAAGAGCAUUCCAUAUCGUGCGACAAAGGAUAUUUCGUCUCCGUUCUUCGUGUUUUUCGCGCGCUCCUCCAGUGGUAAUUGAUGAGGAUGGCUCUGCUCUUCACUUGUUUUUGCUUUGAUUCCUCCCAUCUUCUGCUGAUGAGUAUUGUUUCAAUCUUCGCCCUCUCGCUGCCGACAUCAUCAAGCUCAACGCCCAUCUCUCUUUGCAGGCAAAGGACUCGUCGCCUGAUGGAGGAAGUGAACGACGACGCCGGUACCUCCUGUCCUCCUCCUUGCAAGAUGCCAGGCCAGUCGACCCACCCACCUGGCAUCAGACCAACCGUUAGAUCGGCACGACAUUGAGCACCACGUGACAAACGCUGCGCACUGCGUCAAGGACAACAGCAAGGACAAAGAUUGCGAAGUGUUGAAGCUAAUACUACGACCUAAAUGGGGGUUGAAUAAGUUGUAUGAAAAUACUGUAAAACUUUCACGAAA